GUCCAGACUCCUACGGGAGGCAGCAGUGGGGAAUAUUGCACAAUGGGGGAAACCCUGACCCAGCGACGCCGCGUGAGGGAAGAAGGUUUUCGGAUUGUAAACCUCUGUCCUUGGUGACGAUAAUGACGGUAGCCAAGGAGGAAGCCACGGCUAACUACGUGCCAGCAGCCGCGGUAAUACGUAGGUGGCAAGCGUUGUCCGGAUUUACUGGGUGUAAAGGGCGUGUAGCCGGGCCGGCAAGUCAGAUGUGAAAUCCCAAGGCUCAACCUUGGAACUGCAUUUGAAACUGUUGGUCUUGAGUAUCGGAGAGGCAGGCGGAAUUCCUAGUGUAGCGGUGAAAUGCGUAGAUAUUAGGAGGAACACCAGUGGCGAAGGCGGCCUGCUGGACGACAACUGACGGUGAGGCGCGAAAGCGUGGGGAGCAAACAGGAUUAGAUACCCUAGUA
rnacentral:rRNA from 1 species